UUUUUAUAACAUCGGACAAUCUUUUAAGUAUAUGUGGAUUCAGAUUAUAUUUUUAAAAGUCUAGUCAAAAUACUUUUAUUUCUCUCUCUCCUUUCUUUCUCGCGUCCCUCUCAUCUCCUUAAACUCUUUUAUUUUCAUCAUCCCCCUUGCUCUCUCUCCUCCUCCUUCACAGCCUUUCUCUCUUUUUUCUAUUCCUUCUCCUCCUCCUUCUUUACC
rnacentral:lncRNA from 1 species